GAAAGACCAUGUAUUGACUCUAACAUGCUAUCUUUGCAUUGAAAACCUUCCAGAUCGCAAAGAAGACUACAUACAUGAAGCCAUGAUCGAGUUCUCGACCAGGUAACUCUCUCCUUGGUUGUUAGAAACACAAGUAUUGAGUGUACAUAACAAAUGAGAAAUUCAACAAGUACAUAACAAAUGAGAAAUUCAACAAGCGUGACAAAGACUGAAAAUUUUUGCCUGGCUCCUGACUGUCUGCCUUUACUUUCACUAUUCUAUUUAGGAAACUGGUUCCCACUGGAAAACAGGGUUCGCAUUGUGACUGUGCACCUCACCUGAUGGUCGGACGACAACGGCCUUCCAGCUGCAAUUGGACUCCGAAUCAGAAGGCUUCACGUGGGAGGGCGUUUCGGUCAUUCCGUCCUCCUCAGAGGAAAAACAUGAGGAAUUGCUUUUUCUCUGCCUUCAUCCGUUUCUGAUAAUCUGGACGAAGGCCAUUAGCCCACCAAUAUUUAUACUAAGCACAGCACCUCUCUCUCUCUCUCUAACAUGAAGAUGAAGAGAGAGAGAGAGAGAGAAGAACAGAGAGAUCAUUGGGAGAGGGAGAGAAAGAGAGAUGGGAUUAUAAAGAGGGGUCCCGGGGGGCAAAGGGGCAUUUGUUUAUUAUAUGGAUUUCUCGUUUCACACGCUGUUUGUCCAGUGUUUAAUGUCCAGGUUUCAUCCCGAGAUUACAACAUGUACUACCUCGAGGCUCAUUUUGAAAGUAAAAUGGCGCUUUUCUUGAAUCCAGCAUUUCUCACUCAAAAGGGAUCUCGAGAGCCAUGCCGACCUCAUUGUGAGUGCUAUCUCAUCCGAUGCACGUGGAUAGGGCGAUUUAUGUAAGUUCACAAGGAUCAAUCGAACUGAAAGAUUGGAUCCUUGUCUUAAUAGAAUAUAUUAUAUAUAAAUUGUGUAUAAAGUUUAAAAGAAAAGAGGGAAGGAGAAUUGUCAUCGUCUUUGGCAAGGCACUGUAAAUUGGCACUGAGCGGCCGGUGAAGAGCCCCUUUCAACUUUCUCUUCGGUCCGUUUUUCUAGUACAAGACACAAACUCUCCCUUUCACCCUGGUCCCCCUCCAAUUGGCUUCAAGCCAUCAAUCAUCACGCUAAUCUCACCCCAGACAACACGUCGUUUCCGUGCAACUUCCCCCAAUCAGUUUCUUCUGUACCCACCAUCACCGCAACUUUGCACUCCGCCGGUUUUCUUGCUCCUCCUGCAACUUUGUUCCUUCCCCUGGAUUGACCGCUCACCCAACCCAGCAAAACCCCAAAUCUUGAUUUACUUAAAUCGGUCUUUUGUCUGAUUAGAUUAAUGACCGCAAAGUUGUAAGUUUCCCCUGUCUUUUAGUUUAUUUGAUCUUCGUACGUUCGUGCCUCGAGCUCAGCAUGAAGUGACAAGAACAUGCAAAGAUCCAAGCAGUGUUUGAAUCUGCAAAAAAAAGACACGAAGACGCCCUGCAGCUGCACGACUUUAGAACACGCAAGUUGGUACAGCAUUGGAAUGUCCCCUGCUUUUAGGACCUAUACUGCUGGAGUAGUGACAAGACAAAAUUCCUGAGAAGAGUGUGUCAUGUUCGUUGACUAAUUCAUGGUUCUAUCUUUGGUUGGUAAAUUAUUUGGCAAUCAAUGGAAUUUAUUCGAUUAAUUCCGGGUUUAUUUCUUGAUUUGAUGCACUGAUUACAAUUAGACAGGAUAGUAGCAAGUGUUUUGAGGUUUUCGUACUCUGUUAUACCUUUGAGAAACACCCUCUAUGAUCAUCCAUUUUCGAGUGAAAUUGUUAUCAGGCUCAAAUGAAUAGAGUUUUGAUUCAAUUCUCUCGUAAUUCCUGGUGAUGAUAUUGAAACACUCGUCGUCCUCUCUUGAAUAUAGGCAAAAUUGCCAAAAAGGUAAA